UCCAAGGAUCCUCCCUUCGGCUCCCUGUGGCCACAGCGCUGCGGCGCUCGGCUCAGCUCCACUCUGCUCAGCUCCACUUCAGGAAGGCCACCUCCUCCUCCCCUUCUCCUCCCGCUGUCACCACUCACCGCUCAUAACCUCAAGGGGGUGGGGACCCCAGGGCUGGACACACCCCACUGUGGCCCUAGAGCUCAGCCUGUCAGACGGACGGACAGUUGGACGCAGGACCCCAGAGCCCGAGGUGGGCAGUGUGCCAGGGUCCCUCGCGGACUCCCAAGGGUAUGCGCAUCAAGACGGCACUGCCGGCGGCUGAGCUGGGCCUGUACUCUCUGGUGCUGAGUGGGGCCCUGGCCUAUGCUGGCCACGGCCUCCUUGAGGCCUCACAAGAUGGGGCCCACAGGAAGACGUUUCGGGAGCAUGUUCCCCC